rnacentral:rRNA from 1 species
AUGGAGCGCUCCCACCUCCACCACCAUCUCCUCCUCCUCCUCUUGGUCGUCGGAGUUGGCCUCCUCGCCACUGAGGUCGCCGGCCACGAGCAGGAGUCCUGCGACACCGCGAUACUGGCCCAUCACAUCAACAUCCUCUCGCCCCCUACCACCGAGAAGGACCCCGGCGGCGCUAGCUGCGAGGUGGUGCGGUCCGGGGUGGACUCGUCCCUGGCUGCGGCCGCGGGCGUGACCCCGUGCCUCUGCCUCCUCGAUGACGUCCCAGCUUUUCUCGUCACCGGCUUCUUCAUCGCGCACGUCCCCGCCGAGAUCUACGCCCCCUGCGGAGGCCAGCACGUCAACGAAGCCCAGCUCCUCGCGGAGAAAUGCGGCAGAGUAUUGGCUGGAUUGUCAUCCUGGAGAGAGGAGGAGAAGGACAAAGAUGGCGCCAUGGAGGACAAUGAGGACGGCGCCGUGGACGACGAGGCCAUCCGCAGCAACACUGAUGGGUUGGCUGGCUCUAUGUCCAUCGUCGAGUAG